AUCCUCCACGUUAGCAAAAUAUCCCCGCUUCUACUCAUUUCUCCUCCUGCGAAAGCUUCGGGCCGGCGAAGGAAGCACUUGCCUUCUCCUCCUCCGAUCCCGUCCCCUUCUCGCUACCAGAUCUGUUUCCUUGCAAGGCUCGUCGCUCUGCUGCACUGAACAUCCCCUGUCAUUCUCAGCUGCGAAAUCACUUCUUUUCUAGGGGUUUCCCAAGCAUUCGUUCGUCAGGGGAAACGGGGACGCCGGAGACCAACUGGGAGAGGCUGGUGGAACUUGGAAGCGUUGUGCCUGGAGCGGUUGAGCGUCGUUAGCGAGCAGGAAAUGCCCCAUCCUCCCAGACAAACAACACCCAUAUCAAAGAGCGGGCGAGCAGCAUAUGAGAUUGAUGAUGAGUCCAUAACACUGCGAGAGUUUAUAAAGGUAAAGGGAAGAUGGACUAGCAGAGGAAGCUGGAGUUCAAUGCAAAGAUGGUGUGU